rnacentral:tRNA from 2 species
GCCCCAGUGGCGAAAUGGUAGACGCGGCAGACUCAAAAUCUGUUGUUCGCGAGAACGUGCUGGUUCGAGUCCGGCCUGGGGCA